CAGAAAACUGACAGAACACUGUAAAUCAACUAUAAUGGAAAAAAUUUAAAUUAUAGUUUUAAAAAAUACACAUUCUGUUAACCACACAUGGGACAUUUACUAAGAGGCACUAUUAUCCUAAGUCAUAAAUCAAACCAUAACAAAUUUAAAAGAAUUUAAAGUAUGUUCUCAGGUAAUGAUGAAAUUAAACUACAAAUCAGUACAAGAAAGAAGAUAGCAGAAAAAUUCUCCAGAUGAUUGGAAGGAAGGAAAUAACAUAAGAGCAGGGAUCAAUGAAAUUGGACGCAGGAAAUUCUAUGGGAAAAAAAAAAAAAAAACUAUGAAAAAAAUGUAAUAGUCUUGUUAAAGGAUCAGUAAAACUGACAAACCUUGAGCAAGACUGACAAAGAAAGAAGAGAGAAGACAUGAAUUACCAAUCUCAGGAAUGAAACAAGGGACAUCAGUAUAGAUUCCACAGACUCAAAAGUAUAAUAAGCAAAUAUUAUAAACAUUCUACACACAAAUAUGACAAAUAAAAUGGACUAAUUCCUCAAGAAGAACAAACUAUUUCAAGUCACACAUUAUGAAAUAGAUUAUUUGAAUAGCCUUGAAACUUAAGAAAAUUGGAUUUGUAAUGUAAAAAUACCCAAAAACAUACAACACUACCAAGUGGGGCUUAUUUCCAGGAUGCAGUGUUGAUUUUUUUCAAAAAUUAAGCAUAAUAUUAACAAGCUAAAGAAGAAAAAUCACAUGAUUAUAUCAAUUGAUGCAAAAAAAAAGACAUUGACAAAAUUCAAUACCUAUCAUAAGAAAAACUCUCAGAGAAAUAGAAGCGAAUGGAACUUCCUUAACUCAAUAAAGAGUAUCUUCAAAAACCUAAGCUGCAUUGUGCUUAAAGGUGAAAAACUGAAUACAUCCUCCCUGAUAUAAGGAACAAGACAAGGAUGUUCACUUUCACCACUCUUAUACAAAGUGCUGCUGGAAGUUUCUCCCAAGUGUGAUAAGUAAAGGAAAGAUAUACAGAUCAGAAAGGAAGAAAUCUAACCAUUCUUUAUUAUAGAUGACACACUUGUCUACUUAGAAAAUCCCAAGAUAUCUACCAAAAAACUUCUUGAACUAAUAAGGGAGUUUAUCAAGGUCACAAGAUACAAAAUAAAUGUACAAAGUUAAUUUUAUUUUUGCAUACAAGAAAUGAACAUACAAACACUAAAAUUAAAAAUUAAAAUCACUCAAAAAAAUCAAAGUAUUGUAUAAAAUAUGUUCAAAUGCUUAUUUGCUAACAAGUUAAAAAACUGAUGAAAGAAGUCAAAGAAGACCUGAAUAAAAGGAGAGGCAUACUAUGUUCAUGGAUUGAAAGACUCACUAUAGAAAAGAUGUCAGUUUUCCCCUAAAUUUUAUACAAGGUGAAAGCAAUUCAUAUUAAAAUCCCAGCAUACUCUUUGUAGAUACAGAAAAGAGUAUUCUAAAAUUUGUAUUGAAAGCAAAGGAACUAGAAUAACUAAAAUUAUUUUGAAUAAGAAAUGCUGGGAAGAAUUAGUCUAUUGGUUUUCAAAACAUAUAUCUACAGUAAUCAAGACUGUGUGAUACUGGCAGAAGAAUAGACACAUUGAUUGAUGGAACUGAAGAAACACAGAAAUAGAUCCAACCAAAUAUGCCCAAUUGAUUUUUAACAAAGGAGUAAAAAUAAUUCACUGAAAAACAAAUGGUGCUUUUCAACAAAUGGUGCCUGAAGAAGUUGACACCCACAUGCAAAAAAGCUGAACCUCAAUCUAAAUCUCACACCUUAUACAAAAAGAAACUCAAAUUAGAUCAUCAAUUAAAUGUAAAACUAUAAAUCAAUAUAAAAAAUAGAAAAUAUUUGGGACCUAGGGCUAGACAAAAAAUUCAUAGACUUGACCUCAAAAGUAUGGUCCAUAAAAGGAAAAAAAAAUACCCUGUGAGAGGAUGAAAAAAAUAAGCAACACACUGAGAAAAAAUAUUUGCAAAAUACAUAUCCAAUAAGUACUAAUUUCUAGAUUAUAAAAGACUUCUCAAUCUCAGCAAAGGAAAAAAACCAUCCAAUUAGAAGAUGGACAAAAGACAUAAAAAGCCAUUUCCCUGAAGAGGAUAUACUGAUAGCUAGCAAAUGUGUGAAAAGAUGUUCAGCAUCAUCAGCCAUUAGAGAUGCAAAUUUAAACCAAAAUGAGGUGUUACACAUAUAUAUCAGAGAGGCUAAAAUCAAAUAUAGAGGUAACACCAAGUGCUGAAGAGAAUGUAAAGAAACUGAAUCAUGCAUACAUUUUGGUGAGAAUGUAAAAUGGUAAAGUCAUUUGGAAAACAGUUUGACACUUUCCCAAAAGGUUACAUACUACAUUAUUCUAUUGACUAACAUUAUUGAGAUGGGAAAAUUAUAGAAAUUGGGACUGGUUUACUGGGAGCCCAGUGUGAAGGAGAGAGCAAUAGUAGGAGGGAAGUGGAUAUGGCUUUAAAAGGACAACAUGAGAGAUUCUUGUGUUGGUGGAAAUAUUCUAUAUCUUUAUUGUAUCACUGUCAAUAUUGUGGUUGUGACACUGUACCAUUGUUUAAUAAGAUAUUACCAUUGGGGGAAACUUGGUGAAGGGUGCAUUGAACUUCAUACUGUUUCUUAAAACUGUAUAUGACUCUCUGAUUGCCUCAAAAUAAGGAGUUAAACUUUUUAAUAUAUUUUUUUCCUUUGGGGGCUUCUAGAUGAAUGAUUGGAAAUUCUAUGGAGUGUUAUUUCAAUGUAUGAUUAAGCAUUACUUCGUAGUAGCCUAAUAAGUUAGUUAUUUAGACUUCUUAAAACUUGAUAUUUAUUCAUUAGAACUAGAUUACUCUGGCUUUUAAUUCUGAAUUCUACUAAGAAACCUGUCUGCCAGGUAGGGUUUCACAGAGCCGUGAAGCUCUUGCUGUGCAUGUAAGCACCAUCUGGUCUUUGGAAACUCUGAGCUAUAAGGGUAGAAUACAUUGUACUGUGAUAUCUUACCUGACUAAAAUUUUCAGGUUUUUUUUUUAAUCCUAAAUUACUCUUGGUUUAGCUUCAUAGCGAUUAAUUGAGUUUGCUGGAGAUGUUUGCUUAGCUUGACAUUGCCUAGAAAUUCCUAUUUCUGUAAGCAGUAUGUGUAACCUAUAACUUUGCAAUAACUCGACUUGCACAGAUCUUUUGUAUGGUGGUUCACAUUGAGUCAUCCUCACCUGAACUGCUAAAACCAACAUAUACAUAAUGCCAAAGAAUUUGCAUAGACCCUGACCCUUCAUUGUUAUCACUGAGCUAUCUUUCCACUGGAAAGACAGAAGAGCUUGCGUGGAUGGGCUGAGAAGUCUUGUUCUGCUAACCACCCAGGGCAAAAAAAGUAUGAAGGCCUUGACCUUACACUCUCUGGCUUGACUACUGAUUUUCCUAGGUGAGUUUAAUAGCACAAAGUCCAGAUCAGGGGCGCUAGUGAAUGCAGAUAGUGUGCUUUAGAAUGAAACAAGACCCAGAUACACUGAACACAAACUGUAUAAACAGCAAUGGUAACCAUUGUCAUGAACAUGAAUGAUUCUGACUUGUAUUAAUGUCCAGGUAGAGGCUUUUCCUAUUUCAGUCCAAGGAUGCACUGUGAAAAAAAUCCGUUUUCCUUUUUCUAUAGAACAAAGUGGGCUUUGUACACUUGUUGGUGCCAUUUGUGGCAGAGAGGGAAUUUCUCAGAUUGCUCUGGAAUGAUGAAGAGCAUGUCUCUCAUCCAAGAACUGAAAUGAUACCUUCAGGAACAAGAAGAAAGACUUCAUACACAUCCUCUUCAAUUCCUACCCGAGCAGAAUGUUGGUCAACACUCCUCUUGAAGCACUUAAUGGCAUCCAAUUCCUGAUUCUAAUUAAGAUGUUACACUCAGCUCUUAACCAUCAAUAAAAUCCAGAGAAUGAGCAGUUAACAGCUUAUCAAUGAACAAUGAACAAUGAUCAUCGUAAG